CUUGCCAGUUUUUGAACGCGUACCCGACGAUGUAUCUUAAAGGCUACAAAUCUGCUCCAUCGCUUAUUUAAUUACAUGAUUAAGAUACCACCCAGCGAUAAUCCGGGAUUGAACGCAGGAGCGACGCUGCUGUGGAAAAAUCUAAGCGGGUAAUGUGUGUCAUAAAUAGUGGCCACCAUCGGUAAAAAUGCAGUACGUCCAUAAAAAAGUCUACCAAAGUCAUAAAUUGAGAUCUAUUGAAAGCGUGCAGAAAAUUAAAUGAAGAAAGUAAUAUUUAUAUUUACAUUCAUGUAUAUGGGGACUAUAAAGAAAUGACGCAUAUAAAAUUCAGAACUUUUUAAUAAGUUGCCAAUAAAAAUCUUAAUUGGUUAUAUAAUAAUGUGUUACAUUACUUAAUGUGGUCGAUAUAUCUAAUAAAUAUUCUAAACAUAACGUUGAUAAUAAAUUUAAUGUGGAAUUUGUUCCUUAUUUUUUUUAAUAUUUUGACCGUUUUUAUACAGAUUUUACUAUUUUAAUUACUAUAUGUAAAAUUACACUUUCACGAGUAUUAAAUAAAAGUUCCUCAAAGGGGUUUGAAUAA